rnacentral:rRNA from 1 species
GAUGAACGCUGGCGGCGUGCAUAACACAUGCAAGUCGAGCGGAUGAGCGGAGCUUGCUCCAUGAUUCAGCGGCGGGCGGGUGAGUAAUGCCUAGGAAUCUGCCUGGUAGUGGGGGACAACGUUUCGAAAGGAGCGCUAAUACCGCAUACGUCCUACGGGAGAAAGUGGGGGAUCUUCGGACCUCACGCCAUCAGAUGAGCCUAGGUCGGAUUAGCUAGUUGGUGAGGUAAAGGCUCACCAAGGCGACGAUCCGUAACUGGUCUGAGAGGAUGAUCAGUCACACUGGAGCUGAGGCACGGUCCAG